rnacentral:rRNA from 1 species
AUUGAACGCUGGCGGCAGGCCUAACACAUGCAAGUCGAGCGAGCGGCGGACGGGUGAGUAAUGUAUGGGGACUGCCCGAUAGAGGGGGAUAACUACUGGAAACGGUAGCUAAUACCGAAUACUAUCGGAUAACCCAUAUGGGAUUAGCUAGUAGGUGAGGUAAUGGCUCCCCUAGGCGACGAUCCCUAGCUGGUCUGCUAGGAUGGUCAGCCACCUUGGGACUUAGACACGGCCCAAACUCCCACGGAGGCAGCAGUGGGGAAUAUUGAACAAGGGGCGCAAGCCGGAUGCAGCCAUGCCGCGUGUAUGAAGAAGGCAUUAGGGGUGUAAAGUACUUUCAGUCGGGAGGCGUUACCGACAGAAGAAGCACCGGCUAACUCCGUGCCAGCAGCCGCGGUAAUAC